rnacentral:tRNA from 1 species
GGGGCUGUGGCUCAAUGGUAGAGCACUUGCCUAGCAUGCAUGAGGCACUGGGUUCAAACUUCAGCACCACA